rnacentral:rRNA from 1 species
CCUACGGGGUGCAGCAGUGGGGAAUAUUGGGCAAUGGGCGCAAGCCUGACCCAGCAACGCCGCGUGAAGGAAGAAGGCUUUCGGGUUGUAAACUUCUUUUCUCAGGGACGAAGCAAGUGACGGUACCUUAGGAAUAAGCCACGGCUAACUACGUGCAAGCAGCCGCGGUAAUACGUAGGUGGCAAGCGUUAUCCGGAUUUACUGGGUGUAAAGGGCGUGUAGGCGGGAGUGUAAGUCAGAUGUGAAAACCAUGGGCUCAACCUAUGGACUGCAAUUUAAACUGUAGUUCUUGAGUACUGGAGGGGCAGACGGAAUUCCUAGUGUAGCGGUGAAAUGCGUAGAUAUUAGGAGGAACACCAGUGGCGAAGGCGGGCUGCUGGACAGUAACUGACGCUGAGGCGCGAAAGCGUGGGGAGCAAACAGGAUUAGAUACCCUAGUAGUC